rnacentral:lncRNA from 1 species
CACAAUGUAAUCGUGUCCUUCCUAUUGGUUCUAGGCAUAAUUUAAAGGGUGGUCUUAGUAAGGAUGCAGUUUCGGCCAAGAUCACAUAGAACUAUGGCUCGUGUAUGCUUGUUCAGCGGUCGGCACAUAAUCUUGGUUAGUUGAAUCGGAGCUAUGGCAAAGAAAGGGAGUUUAUUAGAACUAUUACUCCACAGACUAAGCUUGUGAAUAACAAAGGAUCCCAAUUUUUAGUUUUAAAGGAGGAUAAUCAAGUUUAAAGAUAUGGUGUUGCUGAGGUCCUUCCUGCACAGCAAACGGUGUUUGGGUAUCUUCUGACUAGAAGUCAUUGCACCAAUCGGCACGCUAUCCAAAGACAUCUAAAUAAGGCCCUGUGCAAUCAAAUAGGAGAGAUUCUUCAGUUUAUUUUCUAUUGCUCAAUAGGGUUGAAUACGGGUUGGUGCUACUACCACUGUACAAACUCCAGGUGAAUCAUUUCGACAGCCACACUCCUCGACUACCGCUCGCAAAUCUGCUCUCGAUGCUACGGUUGUAGGAGAGUACAUGGUAGUGUUUAGUAAAGCUGGGAUUGGAAAG